UACGUAGGUGGCGAGCGUUGUCCGGAUUUACUGGGCGUAAAGAGCGCGCAGGCGGUCGUUCAAGUCGCGUGUGAAAGCCCCCGGCUCAACUGGGGAGGGUCACGCGAUACUGAUCGACUCGAAGGCAGGAGAGGGAAGUGGAAUUCCCGGUGUAGUGGUGAAAUGCGUAGAUAUCGGGAGGAACACCAGUGGCGAAGGUGACUUCCUGGCCUGUUCUUGACGCUGAGGCGCGAAAGCUAGGGGAGCAAACGGGG
rnacentral:rRNA from 1 species